CGAUGUCAAGAAUGCCAGUUGCUAUUAAAUCUCAAAUAAGAGGAGCAGUCUUGUGGUGGAGAAAGGAUUUGCUGUGCAGGACUGAUUCAGGAUGGCAAAAGAGCAGGAGGAGGAGGGCCGGGCCACCAUAAAACGUCAUCUUAAGAAACCUCCAGAACUCUUCACUUGGAAACUGGGAAGAACUCAGACUCCAGCACUGAGAUUCACCUUGUCUGCCUGCUAGACCCAAUUUCACCCCCCUCUGAACUGAAGCCCUUACCCGAUACUGCUCAUCUGCCCCCAACCUAACUGUAUCCUGUUUGUUUGUGUCCUUGCUUCCGAUCCGCUUUGGGGACUAGAACCCUGACAGUUAGGAAACGUUUGAAGCUUCGGAAUGCGUACACUUGGAUUUUAUAGAUCAGGGCUUCACAAUACUUACUCUCAUAAACAAGUACAUACAUUAUAUUAAAUUAUAUACACUACUGUAAUACCGUAUAUAAGCCAGAGGCUAUAAGACAUGAGCAUGUUUUGUCUAUUAAAAGCAAAUGAAUGUG